AGGGAGGGUCUCUAGUUAAAUUGACCAUGGAACCCCUCACAGGACAGAGACAGCCUCCAUGAAACAGAUAACUAGACAGACUGGGACUGAAGCAUGUUGAUUCAGCACAGCUGUUAUCACGGUACACUGAUCCACUGAGGCAGAGACAUAGAGACAUGAUGCGACAGGCACAGCUCUGCUUGCUAUCAGGUGAGAGAUCGAGUUCAGGAGAGAGAGAGAGCCGCCUGUCGCCAGAGGGGAGAGAGAGAGAGCCGCCUGUCGCCAGAGGGGAGAGAGAGAGAGCCGCCUGUCGCCAGAGGGGAGAGAGAGAGAGCCGCCUGUCGCCAGAGGGGAGAGAGAGAGAGCCGCCUGUCGCCAGAGGGGAGAGAGAGAGAGCCGCCUGUCGCCAGAGGGGAGAGAGAGAGAGCCGCCUGUCGCCAGAGGGGAGAGAGAGAGAGAGCCGCCUGUCGCCAGAGGGGAGAGAGAGAGAGCCGCCUGUCGCCAGAGGGGAGAGAGAGAGAGCCGCCUGUCGCCAGAGGGGAGAGAGAGAGAGCCGCCUGUCGCCAGAGGGGAGAGAGAGAGAGCCGCCUGUCGCCAGAGGGGAGAGAGAGAGAGCCGCCUGUCGCCAGAGGGGAGAGAGAGAGAGCCGCCUGUCGCCAGAGGGGAGAGAGAGAGAGCCGCCUGUCGCCAGAGGGGAGAGAGAGAGAGCCGCCUGUCGCCAGAGGGGAGAGAGAGAGAGCCGCCUGUCGCCAGAGGGGAGAGAGAGAGAGCCGCCUGUCGCCAGAGGGGAGAGAGAGAGAGCCGCCUGUCGCCAGAGGGGAGAGAGAGAGAGCCGCCUGUCGCCAGAGGGGAGAGAGAGAGAGCCGCCUGUCGCCAGAGGGGAGAGAGAGAGAGCCGCCUGUCGCCAGAGGGGAGAGAGAGAGAGCCGCCUGUCGCCAGAGGGGGAGAGAGAGAGAGCCGCCUGUCGCCAGAGGGGAGAGAGAGAGAGCCGCCUGUCGCCAGAGGGAGAGAGAGAGAGCCGCCUGUCGCCAGAGGAGAGAGAGAGAGCCGCCUGUCGCCAGAGGAGAGGAGAGAGCCGCCUGUCGCCAGAGGAGAGGAGAGAGCCGCCUGUCGCCAGAGGAGAGGAGAGAGCCGCCUGUCGCCAGAGGAGAGGAGAGAGCCGCCUGUCGCCAGAGGAGAGGAGAGAGCCGCCUGUCGCCAGAGGAGAGGAGAGAGCCGCCUGUCGCCAGAGGAGAGGAGAGAGCCGCCUGUCGCCAGAGGAGAGAGCCGCCUGUCAUCAGAGGAGAGAGCCGCCUGUCAUCAGAGGAGAGAGCCGCCUGUCAUCAGGAGGAGAGAGCCGUUUGUUAUCAGGAGGAGAGAGACGUUUGUUAUCAGGUGAGUUAGAGGAGAGGAGGAGAGAGAGCUGCA
rnacentral:lncRNA from 1 species